UACGAAGGGGGGCUAGCGUUGUUCGGAAUUACUGGGCGUAAAGCGCACGUAGGCGGACAUUUAAGUCAGGGGGUGAAAUCCCAGAGCUCAACUCUGGAACUGCCUUUUGAUACUGGGUGUCUUGAGUAUGGAAGAGGUGAGUGGAAUUCCGAGUGUAGAGGUGAAAUUCGUAGAUAUUCGGAGGAACACCAGUGGCGAAGGCGGCUCACUGGUCC
rnacentral:rRNA from 1 species